rnacentral:lncRNA from 1 species
UUCCAUGUCUGUGGUUCAAUUUCUGUUUUGUAUAUAAGUUCAUUUGUAUCUCUCUCUCUCUCUCUCUUUUUUUUUUUUUUUGUAGAUUCCACAUAUAAGCAAUAACAUACGAUAUACGGAGGCUCCUUUAAAACUAAAAAUAGAAUUACUACAUGAUCCAGCAAUCCCAUUCCUGGACAUCUGUCUGGAAAAAAAAAAAACCAUAAUUCAAAAAGAUACAUGCACCCCAAUGUUCAUUGCAGUACUAUUUACAAUAACCAAGUCAUGGAAGUUACCUAAAUGUCCACUGACAAAUGAAUGGAUAAAGAAGACGUGAUACAUAUAUAUGAUGGAAUAUUACUCAUCCAUGAAAAAGAGUGAAAUAAUGCCAUUUGCAGGAACAUGAAUGGACCUGGAGAUGAUCAUACCAAGGAAAAUAAGCCAGACAGAGAAAGAAGUUACUUCUGUGAAAGCAAAAAAUGGAGCUCCAGUGCUGGUUUAUAUGGGGAAGUGGACAGAUGGGGUCUUCUGGAUGUGACUACACACAAGUGUUAUUUAAAGACAGAUGGCAAGUUUUGCUUCUGAAUCAACUGGUUUCCUCACAUUAUUCACCUUUGAGAAUGGAGCAGUCCUGCAGUUUUAUUUUAGGUAGCAGUUCUUCACGUUCAGCUAUGGUAUUUCACCUAAUUAGAGACCUGAUUCUGAGGAAAAUGCGGGGAACUGCUACAAAGGAUAAAAUGUGA